rnacentral:rRNA from 1 species
AUUGAACGCUGGCGGCAGGCCUAACACAUGCAAGUCGAGCGGAUGAAGGGAGCUUGCUCCUGGAUUCAGCGGCGGACGGGUGAGUAAUGCCUAGGAAUCUGCCUGGUAGUGGGGGAUAACGUCCGGAAACGGGCGCUAAUACCGCAUACGUCCUGAGGGAGAAAGUGGGGGAUCUUCGGACCUCACGCUAUCAGAUGAGCCUAGGUCGGAUUAGCUAGUUGGUGGGGUAAAGGCCUACCAAGGCGACGAUCCGUAACUGGUCUGAGAGGAUGAGCAGUCACACUGGAAUUGAGACACGGUCCAGACUCCUACGGGAGGCAGCAGUGGGGAAUAUUGGACAAAGGGCGAAAGCCUGAUCCAGCCAUGCCGCGUGUGUGAAGAAGGUCUUCGGAUUGUAAAGCACUUUAAGUUGGGAGGAAGGGCAGUAAGUUAAUACCUUGCUGUUUUGACGUUACCAACAGAAUAAGCACCGGCUAACUUCGUG